GAUGAACGCUGGCGGCGUGCCUAAUACAUGCAAGUCGAGCGAACAGACGAGGAGCUUGCUCCUCUGACGUUAGCGGCGGACGGGUGAGUAACACGUGGAUAACCUACCUAUAAUACUGGGAUAACUUCGGAAAACCGCUGCUAAUACCGGAUAAUAAAUUGAACCGCAUGGUUCAAUAGUGAAUCACGGUUUUCCUGUCUCUUAUAGAUGGUUCCGCGCCGCAUUAUUUAGUUGGUAAGGUAACGGCUUACCAAGGAAACGAAGCGUAGCCGACCUGAGAGGAUGAUCAGCCACAACAGAACCGAGAAACGGUCCAGAAUCCUAAGGGAGGGCGCAGUGGGGAAUACUGGACAAUGGGGGGAAGCCUGAACCAGGCAACCCGCCUGGGGGAAGAAGGCCUUCGGGUUCAAAAACCUUUUUUUUGGGGAAAAAAAAAAGGAGAUUAAAACCACGCCGUUCUGAAGGUACCCAAAUAAAAAACCCCGGCUAACUUGGUG
rnacentral:rRNA from 1 species